UACAGAGGGUGCGAGCGUUGUUCGGAAUUACUGGGCGUAAAGCGCGCGCAGGCGGCUCUUUAAGUCUGACGGUGAAAUGCCGGGGCUCAACCCCGUGCCCGCCGCGGAUACUGGAGGGCUGGAGACACGUAGAGGCAAGCGGAAUUCCGGGUGUAGCGGUGGAAUGCGUAGAGAUCCGGAAGAACACCGGAGGCGAAGGCGGCUUGCUGGGCGUAGUCUGACGCUGAGGCGCGAAAGCGUGGGGAGCGAACAGG
rnacentral:rRNA from 1 species